rnacentral:lncRNA from 1 species
CCUCGAUAAACACUUUAAAAAUACUGUCAGCAUCAAAAAAUCCAUCCAUCCAUGUCCAACAACUAGACCAAAAUAGCCCCAUCUUAAGCUCCUUAUCUGAUCGAACUAAAACUUAUUUUGCAUCUCCUGUCACAUGGUGAGGCCAAAAACAAUAUCCACAUCUAUGUAACAAACAAAAAACUGAUCAAAUAGAACAAAAGGGAACCAAUCACCAAACCAGAACCGCUUUUCCUUCAAAAAUGGUGAAGAACCACACAAAGAUCCAUCUGAAAUGGAAGUGCAUAAACAAUAAGCAAGGGGAAAGCCCAGGAAGAAGACAAUGACAGUAGAAAAAUAUUAUACUCCCUCUACAAUGCUUCACGUCCAACAACCAGACCAAGAUAGCCCCACCUUAAGCUCCGACUUUGGUAGAAUCAAAACUUAUUUUGUAUCUCCUGUCAAAGGGUGGGACCAAAAACAAUAUACACAUGUACGUAACAAACAAAAAAUAGAUUAAACAGAGCAAAAGGGAACCAAGCACCAAACCAGAACCGCCUUCCCACGAGAACUGGUUAAUUAGAACCCAAAGAUCAAACAUUUGAAGAUUAAAGAGCAUAACAAUAAGCAAAGGGAAAAAGUUCACCUAGAAGAUAAAUCACAAUAGAAAAAUAAUAUACUCCUGUUGACACCCACCAUAAACACUAUACCAAUGGCAGCAUCCAAGAUUGGUCCAUAUCCAAAUAACCAGACCAAGAUAGCCUCACCUUAAAUACCUAACUUUGAUGGAAUCAAAACCAAUUUUGUAUCUCCUGACACAGGGUGAGGCAGAAAACAAGGUCCAAGUCUACGUAACAAAAUAAAACUAUAAUAGAGAGCAAAGAUAACCAAGGAUCAAACCAGAACAGUCUUCCACAGAAGCCUGAUUAAGAAACACACAACGAUCCGGCAUCUGGAAAUUGAAAAGAAUAACGAUAAGCAAGGGAAAGUUUAGGUAGAAUAUAAAAUUUAGUAAAAAAGUUACAAUACUAUACUCCCUAUGCAACCCUUGAUAAACACUAUAUCAAUGACAGCGUCAAAGGUUGCUCCGUGUCCAACAAUCAGACCAAGAUUGCACCACCAUAAGCUCCUACUUUGAUAGAAUCAAAACUUAAUUUAUAUUUUGUGUCAUAGGGUGAUGCAGAAAACAAUAUCCACGCCAACGUAACAAACAAAAAACUGAUGAAAGAGAAAAAAGAUAACAAAGCAUCAAACCGAACAGCCUUCCAAUUAAGAACCACAACGAUCAGAAAUCUGAAAAUUGAAGAGUAUAACGACAAGCACCGGAAACUCUAGGUAGAAGAGAAAAUAUAGUAGAAGAAAAUGUAGUAUAACAAUCUGCAUCCCUCAAUAAACAUUAUAUCAAUUGACAUCUUAUAUUAGUCCGCAUCCAACAACCCCACCAAGUUGGCCCCCACCUUAAGCUCCCACUUUGAUAGAAUAAAACUGAAUUUGUAUCUCCUGUCACAGGGUGAGGGCGAAAAAAAUAUCAAAGUCUACGUAACAAAAAAAAAAAAACUAUAAUAGAGAACACAGACAACCAAGCGUCAAACAAGAACUGCCUUUCAGAGAAGCUUGAUUAAGAACAAAACAGCAACCAAAGAUUUGUCCAUGUCCAAAAACCAGACCAAGAUAGCCCCCACCUUAAGCUCCUACUUUGAUAGAAUCAAAACCUAUUUUGUAUCUCCUGUCACAGGGUGAGGCUGAAAACAACAUCCAAGUCUACAUAACAGCAAAAGAACUAUAAUUGAGAGAGCAAAGAUAACCAAUUAUCAAACCCGAACUGCCUUCCAGUUAAACUUGAUUAAGAACCACAUAAUGAACAGGCAUCUGGAAAUGGAAGAGAGACUAACAAUAACCACAGGAAAGUCUAGAUGGAAGAUAAAUUGUAGUAGAAAAAAAUACUAUAUUAUACUCCCUCUGCCAUCCUCGAUAAACACUAUAAUUGACAGCGUCAAAGGUUGAUCUGUGGCCAAUAUAACUAAACCAAGAUUAGCCCCACCUUGAGCUCCUACUUUGAUAAAAUCAAAACAAAAUUUUUAUCAUCUGCCAUAGGAUGAGGCAGAAAUACAAUAUACACGUAUACGUAACAAACAAAAAAACUGAUGAUAGAGAGAAAAGAUAAACCCAGCAUCAAACCAGAAGUGCCUUCAAGUAAAGAACACCUGGAAAUUGAAGAGUAUAACGAUAAGUAUAGGAAACUCAAGGUAAAAGAGAAAACGUAAAAAAAAAAAAAAUAACUAUACUGUACACCAUCUGCCACCCUCGACAAACACUAUAUCAAUGAUGGCAUCAUAGAUUAGUCCAUAUCCAAAAACCAGACCAAGAUAACCCCCACCUUAAGCUUCAACUUUGAUAGAAUCAAAACCUAUUUUGUCUCCUGGCACAGGGUGAGGACCAAAACAUUGUCCAAGUCUACAUAACAAAUAAACAAUAAUUACAGAGCAAAGGUGACCAAUUAGCAAACCAGAACAGCCUUCCCGUGAAGCUUGAUUAAAAACCACACAGCGAUCAGGCAUCUGGAAAUUGAUGAGAACAACGGUAAGCAUGGGAAAGUCUAGGUAGAAGAUAAAAGAUAGUAAAAAAAAAAAAAACUAUUCUAUACUCUCUUUGCCAGGCCCACACCACUAUAUCAAUGACAGCAUCAAAGGUAGAUCCGUGUUCAAUAACCAGGCCAACAUUAGCCACACCAUAAGCUCCUUCUUUCAAAACUUAAUUUUUAUCUCCUAUCAUAGGGUGAGGCAGAGAACAAUAUCCACGUCUACAUAACAACAAAAAAUUGUUGAAACUGACAAAAGAUAACCAAGAAAACAAGAAGUGCCAUCCAUUAUGGAAAUUGAAGAGUAUAACUAUAAACACGGGAAACUCUAGGUAGAAGAGAAAAUGUAGUAGAAAAAAAAAAUACUAUUAUGUAUUUCCUUUGCGACCCUCGAUUUACAAUAUACCAAUGAUAACAUCAAAGAUCUGUCCGCGUCCAAAAACCAGACCAAGAUAGCCCCCACAUUAAGCUCCUACAGUGAUGGAAUCAAAACCUAUUUUGUAUCUCCUGUCACAGGGUAGGCCCAAAACAAUAUCCAAGUCUAUAUAACAACAAAAGAAAUAUAAUAGAGAGAUCAAAUGCAACCAAUUAUGAACCCAGAACUGCCUUCCAGUUAAGCUUGAUUAAGAACCACACAACGAUCAGGCAUCUGGAAAUUGAAGAGAAUAACAAUAAGCACGGGAAAGUCAAGAUGGAAGAUAAAUUGUAGCAGAAUUAAUACAAUACUAUACUCCCUCUGACACCCUCGAUAAACAUUAUAUCAGUGACAGCAUCAAAAGUUGAUAUGUCUCCAAUAACUAGACCAAGAUUAGCCCCACCAUAAGCUGCUUCUUUCACAACUUAAUUUUUAACCCCUGUCACAAGGUGAGGCAGAAAACAAUAUCCACGUCUACGUAACAAAUAAAAGAUUGUUGAAACUGACAAAAGAUAACCAAGCAUACCAGAAGUGCCUUCCAGUUAAGAACCACACAACAAUCAGACAUCUGGAAAUUGAAGAGUAUAACUAUUAGCACGGGAAACUCUAGGUAGAAGAGAAAAUGUAGUAGAAAAAAAAUACUAUUAUGUACUCCAUGUACUCCCUUUACCACCCACAUUAAACUAUAUCAAUGACAGCAUGAAGGAUUUGUCAGUGUACCAAAAACCAGACCAAGACACGCCCCCACCUUAAGCUCCUACUUUGAUAGAAUCAGAACCUAUUUUGUAUCUCCUAUCACAGGGUGAGGCUGAAACCAACAUCGAGUCUAAAUAACAACAAAAGAACUACAAUAGAGAGAGCAAAGGUAACCAACUAUCAAACCCGAACUGCCGUCCAGUAAGCUUGAUUAAGAACCACACAACGAUCGGGCAUCUGGAAAUGGAAGAGAAUAACGAUAAGCACCGGAAGGUCUAGAUGGAAGAUAAAUUGUAUUAGAAGAAAUACUAUACUAACUCCCUCUGCCACCCUCGAAAAACAUAUCAUGACCAUCAAAGGAUUGAUUGUGUGCAAUAACUGACUAAGAUUAGCCCUACCUUAAGCCCUACUUUGAUAAAAUUAAAACUUAAUUUUUAUCUCAUGUCAUAGGGUGGGGCAGAAAACAAUAUCACGUCUAUGUACAAACAAAAAUUGUUGAAAUGACAAAAGAUAACCAAACAUCAAACCAGAAGUGUCAUCCAGUUAAGAACCACCCCACGAUCAGACAUCUGGAAAUUGAAGAGUAUAUCUAUAAGCACGGGAAACUCUAGGUAGAAGAGAAAAUGUAUAGAAAUAAAAAUACUAUUAUGUACUCCCUUUGCCACCCUCGAUUAACACAAUAUCAAUGACUCAUCAAAGAUCUGUCCGCGUCCAAAAACCAGACCAAGAUAGCCCCCACAUUAAGCUCCUACAGUGAUGGAAUCAAAACCUAUUUUGUAUCUCCUGUCACAGGGUAGGCCCAAAACAAUAUCCAAGUCUAUAUAACAACAAAAGAAUAUAAUAGAGAGAUCAAAUGCAACCAAUUAUGAACCCAGAACUGCCUUCCAGUUAAGCUUGAUUAAGAACCAAACAACGAUCAGGCAUCUGGAAAUCGAAGAGAAUAACAAUAAGCACGGGAAAGUCAAGAUGGAAGAUAAAUUGUAGCAGAAUUAAUACAAUACUAUACUCCCUCUGACACCCUCGAUAAACAUUAUAUCAGUGACAGCAUCAAAAGUUGAUGUCUCCAGUAACUAGACCAAGAUUAGCCCCACCAUAAGCUGCUUCUUUCACAACUUAAUUUUUAACUCCUGUCACAAGGUGAGGCAGAAAACAAUAUCCACGUCUACGUAACAAAUAAAAGAUUGUUGAAACUGACAAAAGAUAACCAAGCAUACCAGAAGUGCCUUCCAGUUAAGAACCACACAACAAUCAGACAUCUGGAAAUUGAAGAGUAUAACUAUUAGCACGGGAAACUCUAGGUAGAAGAGAAAAUGUAGGUAGAAAAAAAAUACUAUUAGUACUCCCUUUACCACCCACUAUUAACACUAUAUCAAUGACAGCAUGAAGGAUUUGUCAGUGUCCAAAAACCAGACCAAGACAGCCCCCACCUUAAGCUCCUACUUGAUAGAAUCAGAACCUAUUUUGUAUCUCCUAUCACAGGGUGAGGCUGAAACCAACAUCCGAGUCUAAAUAACAACAAAAGAACUACAAUAGAGAGAGCAAAGGUAACCAACUAUCAAACCCGAACUGCCGUCCAGUUAAGCUUGAUUAAGAACCACACAACGAUCGGGCAUCUGGAAAUGAAGAGAAUAACGAUAAGCACCGGAAGGUCUAGAUGGAAGAUAAAUUGUAUAGAAGAAAUACUAUACUAUACUCCCUCUGCCACCCUCGAUAAACACACUAUAUAGUGACCACGUCAAAGGAUUGACUUGUGUGCAAUAACUUGACUAAGAUUAGCCCUACCUUAAGCUCCUACUUGAUAAAAUUAAAACUUAAUUUUUAUCUCAUGUCAUAGGGUGGGGCAGAAAACAAUAUCCACGUCUAUGUAGCAAACAAAAUUGUUGAACUGACAAAAGAUAACCAAACAUCAAACAGAAGUGUCUCCAGUUAAGAACCACCCCACGAUCAGACAUCUGGAAAUUGAAGAGUAUAUCUAUAAGCACGGGAAACUCGAGGUAGAAGAGAAAAUGUAGUAGAAUAAAAAUACUAUUAUGUACUCCCUUUGCCACCCUCGAUUAACACAAUAUCAAUGACUACAUCAAAGAUCUGUCGCGUCCAAAAACCAGACCAAGAUAGCCCCCACAUUAAGCUCCUACAGUGAUGGAAUCAAAACCUAUUUUGUAUCUCCUGUCACAGGGUAGGCUCAAAACAAUAUCCAAGUCUAUAUAACAACAAAAGAAAUAUAAUAGAGAGAUCAAAUGCAACCAAUUAUGAACCCAGAACUGCCUUCCAGUUAAGCUUGAUUAAGAACCAAACAACGAUCAGGCAUCUGGAAAUCGAAGAGAAUAACAAUAAGCACGGGAAAGUCAAGAUGGAAGAUAAAUUGUAGCAGAAUUAAUACAAUACUAUACUCCCUCUGACACCCUCGAUAAACAUUAUAUCAGUGACAGCAUCAAAAGUUGAUAGUCUCCAUAACUAGACCAAGAUUAGCCCCACCAUAAGUGCUUCUUUCACAACUUAAUUUUUAACCCCUGUCACAAGGUGAGGCAGAAAACAAUAUCCACGUCUACGUAACAAAUAAAAGAUUGUUGAAACUGACAAAAGAUAACCAAGCAUACCAGAAGUGCCUUCCAGUUAAGAACCACACAACAUCAGACAUCUGGAAAUUGAAGAGUAUAUCUAUAGCACGGGAAAUUCUAGGUAGAAGAGAAAAUGUAGUAGAAAAAAAAUACUAUUAUGUACUCCCUUUCCACCCCGAUUAAACAUAUCAAUGACCAUAAGAUUGUCGGUCCAAAAACCAGACCAAGACAGCCCCCACCUUAAGCUCCUACUUUGAUAGAAUCAGAACCUAUUUUGUAUCUCCUAUCACAGGGUGAGGCUGAAACCAACAUCGAGUCUAAAUAACAACAAAAGAACUACAAUAGAGAAAGCAAAGGUAACCAACUAUCAAACCCGAACUGCCGUCCAGUUAAGCUUGAUUAAGAACCACACAACGAUCGGGCAUCUGGAAAUGGAAGAGAAUAACGAUAAGCACCGGAAGGUCUAGAUGGAAGAUAAAUUGUAUUAGAAGAAAUACUAUCUAUACUCCCUCUGCCACCCUCGAUAAACACACUAUAUCAGUGACCACGUCAAAGGAUUGACUUGUGUGCAAUAACUUGACUAAGAUUAGCCCUACUUAAGCUCCUACUUUGAUAAAAUUAAAACUUAAUUUUUAUCUCAUGUCAUAGGGUGGGGCAGAAAACAAUAUCCACGUCUAUGUACAAACAAAAUUGUUGAAAUGACAAAAGAUAACCAAACAUCAAACCAGAAG